GAUGAACGCUAGCGGCAGGCUUAACACAUGCAAGUCGAGGGGUAACAGGGAUUGCUUGCAAUCCGCUGACGACCGGCGCACGGGUGCGUAACGCGUAUGCAACCUACCUUCUACAAGAGGAUAGCCCAGAGAAAUUUGGAUUAAUACUCUAUACGAUCAUUAACUGGCAUCAGUCAAUGAAGAAAACUCCGGUGGUAGAAGAUGGGCAUGCGUCCUAUUAGUUAGUUGGUAAGGUAAUGGCUUACCAAGACUUCGAUAGGUAGGGGUCCUGAGAGGGAGAUCCCCCACACUGGUACUGAGACACGGACCAGACUCCUACGGGAGGCAGCAGUGAGGAAUAUUGGACAAUGGAGGCAACUCUGAUCCAGCCAUGCCGCGUGCAGGAAGACGGCCCUACGGGUUGUAAACUGCUUUUAUACAGGAAGAAUUAUGCCUACGUGUAGGCAUUUGACGGUACUGUACGAAUAAGGAUCGGCUAACUCCGUG
rnacentral:rRNA from 1 species